AUCUCAUGUCGCUGCUGCCGCCACCCCCGAUUCGCAAUGUUUCUGCUUCCCUCCACUCUGUCCCGGGUUCCAGGGCCCUGUCUCUAGGGGCGCCCUGGGUCUUCCAGGAGUGAUCCAGAAGUUUCUUCCUGUCCUGCGUGCGCUGACCAUCGGCCCCGAGGACAGCGAUAAGAUGGCUAAAGGCUCCCGAGGCCAGUGCACUCCCAGAGCCUUGAAGACAGCAGAAGUCCUCUAAGCCCUGUGUGGUGAGAGAGGAUUUCCAGAGGAGUCAUCAGAACUGAGCGUGAAGAAGGGCUGUGUGUGACCCAAUGGAGGAUGCUGAAGAGGGCAUUCGAAGCAGAGAAGAACAUGUGCAAAGCAGGAGACGGGCAGAACAGGAGGGAUUCUAAAACAGCAGGUGUGCUGCAGAGGAAGAAGGGUGGCUGCAAACCCUGAGGAGGAAAAGGAUUAAGUUUAAAAAAAAUACACAGGAAGGAAUAAGAAGGAGAGAUACCAUAAAGAAAAUAUUAACAGGACCUGAUCACUGAGCGGUUUGGAAGGUAACAUUGGAACAUACAGGUGGCAGGUAGGGGAGAAUUUGGAGACUUUUGAAAAGAAUGUGAAAUUGGAGAGUGGGGCUCAGGUAAGUGCUGAAAACAGAUUUGGGAAUAGUUCCCAUACAGAUGGAAGAAGAGACUGCGAAGAAACUCAAUGUUUAUGGGAAUAUGAAUGAUUUCUUCAUAGGAUUCAUACACAGACAUCCAAUAUUUCUGAGCAUGGCAUAAUCCUAUUGUAUACCUCCUUCUGAUAUCUGGAAUACAACCAAUGUAUUCACAUAAUGAUCAUAAGCUAUGUCUACUAACUCUCAUGUAUCAUACCCAGUUGGUUUCUAUUCUAGAACUAUGAGGUCAGUACUUGUGAAAUGUAUAUUGAGGUCUACUAUGAAAUUUGCUUUUAUUCUCUCCACAAACAGAGCUUUUAUGUUUGUGCAAUAAAAGUUCAAGAGAUACAUAUACAUCUGGUUAAAUACUUACUGAGACAUCAAAUAUAAUGUUUAUUAGUUGAA